rnacentral:tRNA from 1 species
GCGGAUGUGGUGGAACUGGCAGACACGCAGGAUUUAGGUUCCUGUGGAGCGAUCCAUGUGGGUUCGAGUCCCACCAUCCGCACCA